rnacentral:lncRNA from 1 species
CAGGGAUUAAACCCAGAUCUCCCACGUUGUAGGCAGACGCUUUACCAUUACUUUCUUAAAGAGCCUAAAUAUUUUUUAGGGAUUACAUUCCAAGCUCUGUUUUAAAAGGUAUCUCUUUGCUGCUAUCUUUUUCUGGACUCUUUAGAAAAUGUGCUCAAGGUGCAAGUCUAUUUGUUGGGGGAAGUAAAGGGUUUCAUCUUCAUUUUCAGUAAUGUAGAUAGUGCAUGUAGGGUUCACUAAAGUGGUAUCACAUUCCAGUUUGUUUAGAUCACACCUUCGGACACGAAUGCAGUUUGAGCUGUGAGGACUGCAUGAAUGGAGGCUGAUGCCAGGAAGGAAAGAGUGAGUGUUCCUGUCCCAAUGGCUGGAGAGGCUUUCUUUUUAAUGAAACUCGUUCCCCAGAGACCAGUGUGAGAGAGUAUGAUGACAUCUGUGAUUGUCAGAAUGGAGGCACCUGUGACCCUCUGACUGGGCGAUGCAAGUGCCCCCCAGGGGUUCAUGGGAAAACCUGUGGAAACGAAACCAAUCAAGAGACCACAUUUUCUACAUGGGCUGAUAAAACACAAAAAAAGAAACUGCUUGUACAAUCCCAGGAGCUGAAGGCAGAGAGUCAUGAAGAUGUAAGUCUUCAGGGAUUGCCAGAAAUCAUGGAGAGUUUAUUAGAUUCUUACAGAUUGUAGAACUGGGGAGAUAGAAAAACCAAGUUUAGUUUGCUCUCUGAGAGGUGCAGGAAGGCUCAUGCUCACACCCUAGUUAUUUAUCCCCCAAUUUUUAUUCAUUUAUUCAAAAUAUAUGUAUUAAGUGUUGCAAGACACUGUGCCAGGCUUUAUGAUAUGUUAAGAGAACAAAAAUGAAACAGACCCUGGUCCUUCCUCAUGGAACUCACAGUCUUGUUCAAAGCAGACAUAAGUUACACAUGUGGGUAGGUAUUUCAAGUUAAAUCUUAAUGUGUGCUUGGAGGUUGAACCAUGAGGGCCCAUGCAGACUGUGUGAGCCAGGGAAUGGCUUGUAGAGAAGUUAGCCUUAAGCAGAAGUGUAUAAAAUGAGGAAACAUGAAGCAAGGCAAGAGAGAAGGAAAAGCACUGCAGACUCGGGGGGCCACGUGUGACCGGACUCUGAAGUGAGAAAGAACAAGGUGAUUUAGGGGUGCCCGAGAGGGAUCUGCUGAUAGAAUCAAAGUCAGGAAGAGCUACUGCAACAUAAGGUCAGC